AACGAACGCUGGCGGUAUGCUUAACACAUGCAAGUCGAACGAACAAAAUUGGGGCUUGCUCCAAUUUUAGUGAGUGGCAAACGGGUGAGUAACACGUGGGAAUCUACCUAUCAGUACGGAAUAACAUUUGGAAACAGAUGCUAAUACCGUAUAUUCUACAAGGAGGAAAGAUUUAUCGCUGAUAGAUGAGCCCGCGUAAGAUUAGGUAGUUGGUAGGGUAAUGGCAUACCAAGCCGACGAUCUUUAGCUGCCCUGAGAGGAUGAUCAGCCACACUGGGACUGAGACACGGCCCAGGCUCCUACGGGAGGCAGCAGUGGGGAAUAUUGGACAAUGGGCGAAAGCCUGAUCCAGCAAUACCGCGUGAAUGAUGAAGGCCUUAGGGUUGUAAAGUUCUUUUAGUCGGAAAGAUAAUGACGGUACCAACAGAAAAAGCCCCGGCUAACUCCGUGCCAGCCGCCGCCGUAA
rnacentral:rRNA from 1 species